rnacentral:lncRNA from 10 species
AGCCCAAAGUUCCACUCUUAGUUAUAUAUACACCUGAGAGAAACAACAAUAUAUUUCCACACAGAGACCUGCACACAAAUGUUCAUGGCAGUAUUGGUCAUAAUAGCUAAGAAGUGGAGAUGGCUCCACUUGUCCAUCACUUGUGGAUACACAGGCAAAAUGUGGUGCAUGCACACCAUGGAAAAGUCUUUGGGAAUAAAAAGGAACAAGCUACUCAUACAUGCUGUGAUAUUGAUAUUUGUUCAUUUUUUUGAGACCGGGUUAUGAGACUGGCUAUUUUUUUUUUCCUUUUUGUAUUUUUGGUAGAGACAGGGUUUUGCCGUGUUGCCCAGGCUGGUCUCGAAGUCCUAGGCUCAAUGAUCCACCUGCCUCAGCCUCCCAAAGCGCUGGAUUAAAGACGUGAGCCACCAUGCCUGGCUGCUGUGAUAUUGAUAGACCGUGAUGAUAUUAUGCUAAGUGAAAGAAGCCAGCCAUGGAAGACCACAUAUUAAGGAGUCUUGCUCUUGUCGCCCAGGCUGGAGUGCAGUGGCACGAUCUCGGCUCACCGCAACCUUCACCUCCCAGGUUCAGGCGAUUCUCCUGUCUCAGCCUCCUGAGUAGCUGGCAUUAUAGGUGCUUGCCACCACGCCUGGCUAAUUUUUGUAUUUUUUUUUUUAGUAGAGAUGGGAUUUUGCCAUGUCGGACAGGCUAGUCUCAAACUCCUGACCUCAAGUGAUCCGCUCGCCUCAGCCUCCUAAAGUGCUGGAUUUACAAGCACAAUGCGGCCCCUUGUGACCUGCCUUUCUGGCCACACUCAGUUUCUACAUCUGCAAAAUGGGCCAGCAACACUGGUGCUGAUGACAUCCUGGGAUGCAGAGGACACCCCAAAUGUCCACAGGGCCACGGGUGAGAAACCCUGCUUGAGGGAGUAAUGACUUUUGGCCAAAGGAUGGCCCAGAUGGGGCCCUAGGUCUGAGGACUUCGGGGCCGGCCAUGUGGGUAUGAGGGGGCAGGAAGGGAGGGGGCCCAGGACUGUGGCUUUGUAUCCCCUGGCUAUGGAAGGUCCUUCACCUGCUCUUCUCCCCAUGUUUUCCUUGAGGAAUCUUGACCGACAAUCCCACGUUCCUACUAAUUUCACUCAUCCUUCAAGAUCUGCCUCCUCCAACUCCAAGAAGCCCUCCUGGGCUGCCCCAGGGUUACUGGUGCUUACUCUACUUUCCAUCUUCCAACUUGAGAUGACAUUCUGCCUCCAUCACCCUCCCACAUAACAUCCCACUGGGCUGCACCACGGCCCAUUCCCUGAACUCUGAGUGCACUCUCCCCUCUCCAGGCCUUUGCACACGCAGUUCCCCCCCUCCUGGGACCCCCUCCCUACCUUCCCGUUAUCAACUUCUUGUGCUCUCCCACAUCCUCCAGCACAGCUGGACAGUUCCUGCUCUGGCUCCCAUAUGCCUUGACUGAUUCAGAGCCUGCCCCCUUCUUCACAUCGUGAGUGUGCUGAGGGCAUGGAUGGAGGCUGUGUGAGCCAGAGUGAGUCACUAACCCUCUCUGAGCCUCUCUCGCAUCACUGCCUUUCCAGCCCCCAGCACAGGCUUGGGACGUAGGCUGCUGACAAUGGACUGAACUAUGUCCCAUGUGUGUUCUUACUGGGUGCCACUCUGUCCUGCCAGGGGUAGGGUCAUGGUCAUAGACACUGGGAUGUCCUGUGGGCCUUAGAAAGUGAUGUGCUGGGAAAUGCUUAACAACUGGCUCUCUGAAGGAAAAAAAUCAACCUUGAUUUGUAGCAUUUGCCAAUUUCCAUGAUCUAAAUAUUUCCACAAUUUCCAACGUCAAGCUACCAACAAGAACACAGAGCUGGGAAGAGAUAGAUGCCCACAGCCAGCUCCCACGAGCUGGUGCGAGCUGACUCCAGCACACCAUUGGCUUUAGUUUAUCACGCCCAACCACACUGUGAGGAAAUUGAGGCUCAGAGAUGGGAGAAAUUUGCUCAAAGCCCUGCAGCUGGUCAAUAGCAGAGCUGGGACUAGAAUCUGGGUCUCUGGCUGUUGACGUUGGUGAGAAAGUAUCCACACAGGCAUGAUAGCUCCUCAUGGACCAACACAAGCUUCAAGCAUUGUUUAAACGCACUGGGUCCCAGCCCAACAUUUUGGCAGUUAGGGCUGCCCUCUCCUUCCUGAGCAGCCUGGAACCCCAGGCUCAGGGCUAAGCCCUGAGCACAUCGGAGCCUCAGGAAGUGCCACUGGGAUGUUAGCUGCAAAAUACUUCUCCUGUGAGCUGAACAUCUGUCUUGGGUGGACCAGAGAUCACGCCCAUUUGGCUGUGCAUUCAAAUGCCCUGCUGGCGGCAGCCUCCACUUCCUGGUGAUUUCUGCUUUCUUUUUUGCCAAGUCACAUCUGUUUGCCAUCUGUAGGUAGCUGAUCACAUUUCAAAAAGCUGGCUGGGGUUUUAUGCAUAUUUCAUCCACUGGGAGAUUUUGGAGAAGGAAAGCUCUCUUUAAGAUCAAAAUGAGCUGAAGAGGUGCUCAGCUGGGUCACCCAGACAGUGAAGAUUAGAAAGGCCCUAAUUCCAGCCUGGGCAACAUAGUGAGACUUUGUCUCUACUUAAAAAAAAAAAAAAAUCAGCUGGGUCUGGUGGCAUGCAUCUGUAGUCCCUGCUACUCUGGAGGCUGAGGUAGGAGGACUGCUUGAGCUCAGGAGGUUGAGGCUGCAGUGAGCUAUGAUUGUGCCACUGCACUCCAGCCUGAGUGACAGGGUGAGGAAGCAUUGUCUAAAAGAGGGGCUAGCAAAUUUUUUUCUGUAAAAGGCCAGAAAGUAAAUAUUUUUAGUUUCAGGGGCCACAGGGUCUCUGGCCUAACUAUUCAACUCAGCCCUUAGAACAUAAGCAGCCCUAGAUGCUGAGUAUGGAUAUGGGUUGUGUUCCAAUAAAACUAUUUGCAAAAUCAGGUGGUAGGCCAGAGUUGGCUGGGAGGGCCACAGUUUGCAGACGCUGAUGGAGAGGAAAGGACUGAGCAUCUUAUCAAAACUACCCCCCACCUCACCCCCACCCAGGGCACCCAUUUGUUGACUGGGCUCUUACUGAAAGCCAGUGGCUGAUGCUGCAACACUGGGGCAGCAGGAGGCUCAUGACUGUGCCCUGCCCUGGCCCUCGCUUUCCACCAUGAUUCCCAUUUAGAGCCACUUUUUUCCUCCCAGAAGUCUUCCUUGAAGACCUCCUCAGCUAAGGCCAAUGCCCUUGUAAUGGCUCUCCCCAGUCCUGGCAUUGCAGAAUGGGAAAGUCAAUAUCACACGUUAACUCAGAGAGGCCUUCCCUGACCACCCAGUCCCAGGACAGCAAACUCCUCCAACACUCCUCAGACCCCCUACCCUGCUUUAUCGACCCCAGUUGCACGUUUCACCUUGGAGGAUAUAUUUUGCAUUUCUGUUUACUUGUUAUUGCCUAUCUCCCCUCCUUGAAUGAAAGUUUUACUCGGGCAGGUACCUUAUCUUCUUCACUGUUUAUAUCUGACAUCUCAGCGGUACCUGGUCUAUAGUAGGUGUUUAAUAAAAAUAUUUGCUAAAAGCAUGAAUGAAUAUCAGUUAUCACACUGCAAGAUGCUUGCUUAUUUAAUGCUUGUUUUUAGCUUGAAUUGUGAACAUCCUAAAAACAUGGGCUGGGUCUUCUGGGUUUUGUUCUUAACAUCUGCAUUGUCAAAAAAAGUUUGUUGAACGGUUGAAUGAAUGAAUUUAUUUGAUAAAAACGUAUGACAGCAGGAAGUAGAGGCCAUUUAGAACAGUAGACUUCAAAUCUGUGUUUGCAAUGGAAACCUUUAGUAAUGGGUACCUUAUGCACAGUUCAGCUUCUCUGGUUGACUCAGGGUGGGGCAGCAGAGCUGGCCUGCUCAUCUCCUUUCAACUAUGUCCCUCCACUGUUCCCAUGGCGGCCCCCAGCUAUGUCUGUGGCCCCUAGAGAGUUUCCUGGAAAUAGUUUGAAAACUACUGAUCUAGUCUGAACUGUCCGCUGCACAGAUGAAAGAACUGAAGCCUCGGCAGAGAAAUGCUUGGCUGGAGGUCACUUGUCAAGUCUGUGGCUGUCAUGAGAUUAGAACCCAGCCCCCUCUCUCCCACUGAGCUCCUUGAAGCUACCCUGUUUGGUUGCUUGCACUUUGCACAGAUGCUGGUUAAGUCUCAGUUCUGCUCUGAGCUACACUGUGUCCCUGAGGAAAACACUCCAGCUCCCUGGGUUUCUCUUCAGAGAGCUCAGCCCACAAGCCAGUCAGCUACACAGGCUGUGGGCUCUGAGGUCUGAAGCCAUGAAGUCCCACUCUGGCUUGAAAAGGCAUGAGGUUGGAGGCACUGCAAAACUCAGCCAUGACUUGUGUCUGUCUUUUCUGAGGUCAUCUCUGACCUCAGGAUGCCCUGGGGAGGCAGGCUGGAGAGGCCAGAGGGCCCUGGGUUUCAGCAAAGGACCCGGGUUCAAGUCUCAGGUCAACCACUCACCUGCUCAUCAGGUGUGACCCUAAGCGUGCUACUUAACUUCACUGAGCCUUAGUUUCCUCAGCUGUAAAAUGGGGAUAAUCACAGUGUCCACAUCCCCUGGAGUGGUUGUGAGGAUGACAUGACAAGACAGAUGGAAGGUGAUUAGCAUGGACUAGUAAAUGCUAGACACAAUUAUUAUGAAAGACAGGAGGGG